ensembl:lncRNA novel transcript
UGGGGAGAGAAAGGAAGUGGAGAACGUUCUUGCAAGAUGAUCUGUAUUUUCUCUCUAAAGCAGAGUUCAUUUGCUGAGAAUGAUGGAGAAAAUCAGCAUCUAGCUAAUCAGCUGACCAUGAGAUGCAGAGAUUAUCUGGAAUUAUCCAGAUUGGUCCAUUUAAUUACAUGAGUCCUUAAAAGUGGAAAGUGGAAGAAGAGGCAGAAGAGUGUGUCAGAGAGAUGCUGUGUGAAAAGGACUCAACCUGCCACUUGAGGCUUUGAGGCUGGAGAAAGGGGCCAUGAACCAAGGAUUGUGAGCAGCCUGUAAAAUCUGGAAAAGACAAGGCAAUACCCUUUGCUGUCUCAGGGUCAAACAUGCAACUCCUGCCUGCUUGUAUGGCCAGCUGGGUUCAAGAAGGAAGGAACCUCAUUGUUGACAGUUACCAGAUGAAUGUGCCCCUUCUGUACAGCUAAGAAAUGGAAUAGACAUUGGUAACCUUCCACAGGCCCACACAUGUGUUAUCAGCCAUACCUUAGGACAGAAGGAAUGAGUUUGCAGAAAGGAUGCUCUUCAGAACUCAUGAAGACAUAAGGUGCUUCAAAAGAGGAGACUUUCGGAACAUGAGCAGGGAAAUUGUCACUUGAUAGAUGACAAGCAUUGUGAGAAACAACAGUUUGCCUUUCUUCAUUCCCUUCCUGGUUAUCUUUCCUGUCACAUGAAGAAGAAAUGAAACACCAGAGAGAAUCAGGUUAUCAUCAUCUACACCAGCCACUGUCACUGGCCUUCAAAGUUCAACCUCCCUGGAACUCCAGAACUCCCCACUUUAUAAGAUGAAUGGCUAAUUGGAUCCUAGUACAUAAGGAAACACUGGCAAAAUAGCGCCCUACAACCAUACUGAGAAUUUAGCCCUGGGGACAUCUUCCGAUAUAAUCUGGCAUAGAAGAGUGGUUAUCACACCUUUAGCAUGGGACCCUUGAGACACCUUUGCUGUGAAUAAUGGAGAAGCAAAAGGAGUUACUAAUGAAGACAAACUAAACCUGAGAACAGAGAGAGCCUAACUAUGUGCUCCAGAAGUGCCAUGUGUGUCUAAGAUGAAGUUUCGCUCUUCUUGCCCAGGCUGGAGUGCAAUGGCACAAUCUCAGCUCACUGCAACCUCUGCCUCCUGGGUUCAAGCGAUUCUCCUGCCUCAGCCCCCUGAGUAGCUGGGAUUACAGGUAUGCACCACCACACUCAGCUAAUUUUGUAUCUUUAGUAGACAGGGUUUCUCCAUGUUGGUCACUCUGGUCUCGAACACCCAACGUCAGGUGAUCUGCCCACCUCAAACUCAAAGUGUUGGGAUUACAGGCAUGAGCCACCGCUCACCUGGCGACUUUUUUUUUUUUUCCUAUUUGUAAACCAUGAGAAUUAGAGUAAAUGGCACAUAAGACUUGUCUUGCUUGAUGCUUGAACAUUUUCUCUAGUUCUUAAAGUCUAAGCAAUUUGUGGAUGCUUAAGGGUAGAAGGGCUCUGAUCAUUACCUGUUGGUCAGUACAAUUCAGCCAGAAGCCAGAGCUAUUUGAUUAGGAGUUAAAAGUGUUGUAGCUACUGUUUGAUCAUGUUUUGGUUUUGACCUUAGAUAAUUUACUGUUCAUUUCUGCUUAGAAACGUACAGUUAUUUAAUAGUACCCUCAUGCUAAGGAAAAGCUCAUGUAGAUUUCAAGGAAACUCUUCUUAGUCCUAGACAGUAACUUAUGUUCUGGAAGAAUGUGGUUCCGUAAGUAUGAAUUAGUGAAGAUAAAAUAGGGGUCCUCAACUUUAUACCUUUUACAAUGGGAAAGAUUUAUUUUAUGGUAUUUGUCUAUCAUAAAUUAUUAUUAUUAUUAUUGUUAUUAUUAUUAUUAUUAGAGAUGGAGUUUCACUCUUGUUGCCCAGGCUGGAGUGCAAUGGCACGAUUUCAGCUCACUGAAACUUCUGCCUCCCAGGUUCCAGCGAUUCUUCUGCCUCAGUCUCCUGAGUAGCUGGAAUUACAGGCUCCCACCACUACACCUGGCUAUUUUUUUAGAUUUUUAGUAGAGACGGGAUUUCACUAUGUUGGGCAGGCUGGUCUCGAACUCCUGACCUCAUGGUCCACCUGCCUCGGCCUCCCACAGUGCUGGGAUUACAGGGGUAUCAUAAAUUAUUUCGAAUCUUUGAGAGCAAAAUAUAUAUGUGCCAAUGUAUCGAAGUUAGCGAUUACUUAAAAAUGUGACUGCAGGUAUUCAAGAAUUAAAGUUAGCAAAUAACUUCUAUUUCCUCUGUCAUUAUAAAAGGAAUAGAAUGCUGGAUGUUUGUCGUUUUAAUACCCCAAAUCUUAAGUCACUUAAAUCUGCCACAAAUAUUUUAAAAUAAAAUCAAAGGCAAGUUCUGUAAAAUGAGCAAACAUUUCUAUAUUUUGUAAUUUAUAUACAAAUAUAAAUACAGCUUAUCUUAAAAAUUUAAACUUUAACUCAAUAUCUUUUAUUUUAUUUAUUCUGAAGCUAGUUGAUGUCAUCUUUAGAGAUAACAUGAGUUGAGCUGUAAUUUUCCAAAUAAAUUUCAAAUAAUUUAGCAUUUUAAUCCAUAUAUAUGGAGUGUAUUGUUUAUGUAAUAUUCAACAUUCAAACUCCCAGACUUUUUACUGAGAGUUGGAUUAUCUCAUAUGUAACACUAUGCUAUUAUUUCACUUUUUGCAUAGUACACAGGAAAAGACAAUGAUGUCCUUAGUUGCCUAAUUCAGAUAAACAUUUCAAGUUUCUUAACUAUGUAUCUAAUAUGAGACCAAAAUACUGGGUUGAUACUUAUGUAUUAAAUUUCACAUCCUUGCUUCUUUUGGAAAAUGUGUGUCAUAGUAUGGCAUAGAAAAGUAUUGGUCGGAUGUCAUGGUGAAUGAAUGUAGAAUAGAUCGUACUCUUCUGACUCUAAUCCUUUUCUUAAGUUAGAAAUUUAGGAUAAAACCAUGUUUGAGGCAUGAUUUAGAACAUAGAUAUUAAUCAUCAUGUAAGUUUCUCUUACCUAUUAGUAACAUCUACUCUUGUCUAAACAUGUUUUACAUUUGAAAAUCUGAUGAUCUUAAAUUCUUAUAAAUGGAUAAAGAGAUUUCUCAGUGCUUAAAAAUAUUUUGUAUAUUUAAAUUUUUUAUGUAUUAAAAUUAUUUCAGUAUGCUUUUAGAAUUGCUCUCAUUUACCAGAUAAGAAGAAAAAUAAUUCUAUCAACUUGGACAAUCUCUCAAUGUUGUUCUAAUCUGCUACUUUCUAAUUAGCUUCAGUCUUUGUGUCCAGGAAAGUGUGAGGCCCAGGGGGGAAAAAUUCCCAAAGAAUCUUGGAGAGUAAGCUGAGCUUUCUCCACCAAAUAGUAAGUGUCUAUACAUUAAAAUAAUAAUAAUGAUCCAUUAGCCACUGUUCAAUAAAGUUUCUGGAAAAUAGUAUCAUGAAAAAGAUUGCCUUAUGUUGGGUUCCUCAUAAAUACUGAAAAAAAUAAGAAUUAAAACUUUAUCAACUUAAGCAGUUAUUUUUUGUGGAGUUUCUCCUUGAUAUGAAUAAUACUAGACACACACAAAUGCAUGCACACACACACAUACAUAUACAGGUCUCUGGGCAAAUACAUUUGGCGGCAGAGACUUGAAAAUUAAAGGAUAGCCAGGUACAGCGGCUUAU